GGUUACACAUGUAGCUGAGUGGUAGAGCACUUGCUUAGCAUGUAAGAGGCCCUGGAUUCAAUUCCCAGAACCA
rnacentral:tRNA from 1 species